CCCACUGUCAAGCAAUAAGCCAUCAGCUAUUUUUCAUCGUUUUUUUAUAUAUAUAUGGCCAUCAAGGCGCAGAAUCUGCACACACUAUAGUGCUCAGCUCAUAUUGGUAUUUAAUAGGCAUCCUCCGAUGAACCAGUCGGUGAAAUGCAAGAAUGCAUCUUGGAGGAAGAGGACGCAGAGGCACCACUGAUCCCACAACAGGACGUAACGUGCAGAAGGAAGACGCGGCCGCUGCUGUCCCCACUGGAGCAGAGAGGACGUGAGCCUUUGAUGUUCCACUCAAAAUUAUUAAUUCCCCGCAUCAGGUUCUGUGUUUCAUCUACAUUUAAAGUCCAAAUCUUGAGUUUGAGCAAAGCUUCUGCUAUGCAAAUCAGCGCCUAAUGUGCAUGCUGGGUUUGCUGGGGAUGUUUAAUGUAUUUUUUUUUUUUUUUUGAGAAAAUUAAUGACAUCUGCGUCAGUUGAUAUUGAUCUAAAAUCUAGAUAGACGCUCCCCGCUGUGCGUCAGAUGAGCUUCAUGUCUUAGCGUGGCCUUCACAUCACUAGGACAAA